UAGGGAAUAUUGGUCAAUGGGGGAAACCCUGAAUCAGCAACGCCGCGUGAGUGACGAAGGCCUUCGGGUCGUAAAGCUCUGUCGUACGGGAAGAAAAAAAUGACGGUACCGUACAAGAAAGGACCGGCCAACUUCGUGCCAGCAGCCGCGGUAAGACGAGGGGUCCUAGCGUUGUUCGGAAUUACUGGGCGUAAAGCGCAUGUAGGUGGCUUUAUAAGUCAGAUGUGAAAGCCUCGGGCUCAACCUGAGAAGUGCAUUUGAUACUGUAAAGCUUGAGUAUGGGAGAGGGUAGUAGAAUUCCUGGUGUAGUGGUGAAAUACGUAGAUAUCAGGAGGAAUACCGGUGGCGAAGGCGGCUACCUGGCCCAAUACUGACACUGAGAUGCGAAAGCGUGGGGAUCAAACA
rnacentral:rRNA from 1 species